rnacentral:lncRNA from 1 species
GAGUGGGCGGGAGCCCUGGGUGCACAUACCUGGCCACCCCAAGGCCUCACCGGCCCCCGCAGAUGCAGAGGAGCGAGGCCUGGAGCCCCAGGGCCGAGACGUGCUGCUGGACAGGCAGCUCCCGCGGAAGCGCAGCAGCCAGACCCCAGGAAACACCAGGGGUGAGACCCCCCAAUGGAGGCCUGCAGAGCUGAGCCUUCAUCCAAAACCCUGGGGUCCCUCUCCGUCGGCCACAGUGAAUCUUGGGCCAACCUCCCAGCCCCGUGGGCGCGUCACCAUCGCCAGGGCAGCGGCUGGAGAGGCGAGCUGAGGGGCUGACUUCCACCCGACGGCUGAUGAGGUGAGGCUGAGCCCCAGGCUGGGGCCUGGAGCAAGACCCAAGCAGCAGGGAGGUACAGAGGCACCCGUCUCCCUGGCGUGUGUGCGUGUGCAUGCGUGUGCGUGCGCGUGCGUGGUGUGUGUGUGGAGAACCAAUUUGCAUUGUCUCUGCGCACGUGCGAUAAGAGUUUUCCGACACAAAAGGUGUCAGUAAAAUUAACUGAUUUCAUUUUGAACCUUCCCCCCAGCCCAACAGGCAGUGUCUGGCAAGGCUUCCUUUUAGCGAGACGCUUUGGGUUCAACUUUGCCAAUGGCUAGUGUGAAGCUAAGCCGGCCUGAAGUCACAGGCGCACGAGCCUCGUGAGCCCUGGAGAAGGACCACGAAGCUCAGGCUGGGGAGGGGGCCCUGGGCCGCUCCACCUCCAGCCCCAGGCUCCGACCCUGCUGAGGGGGCUCGGCGUCUUCUCUGCACACAGCCCCUCAGGCAAGUCCAGAGCCCUGCUUCCUCCCGGGAAUGCCAGGGACAUGUCACCUACGGCAUCUGUCCCGCUCUUGCUCUGACUGAGCGGUCCCAGCAGAGGAGACUGUGGGAACAGACAGAGAAGAAGGCAGCCUUUGGGGGAAAAGCUGAGUCAGCGAAGGAGGAGGGGAGGCCGGGCUGCUGCGGACGCAGCCUCCCCCGAGCAGCUGCCUUCCCUGCGUCCUGCAGCAGGAGGCGCUGCUGAGAACAAGUGCACUCCGCACUUGGAGCCUUGAAAUCCUGUUUCUGCAAAGCUGGCUGCAUCGCACACGGAACGUCAGUGCCCACACGUGGCCUGGAGCGAGACUGAGCCCUUGGCCCUCCCGCUGGGGGUCUUACAACGGGGCGAGCUUACGAGGUGCCCAGAGCAUCAUCAAGCUGGCUCAGGGGGCCCAGAGCUGAGUGUGCCACAGCCCAGCCCAGACCAGGACUGGCCCCUAGGAGGAAGGACACCUUGAGGCCAGCAGGUGCCGUGGCGAACAAGGGCACAGGACAUGCCACCUCCCGGUGCCCCUGUGGGCAGGGAGACGGACGCCUUCCCCUCCACAGGCCAGUGGCAUCCCGCUGUCUCCAUUUGAGAGGCGGCAAGCAGGCCAGAUGGGGCCGCCUUGAAAGCCUGCCCUCCAGCCAAAGCCAAGGGCACGGGAAAUAAACUGGGUCCAUAUGUGCGGGCAGCUCCAGCAUGUCUGCGGCACGCACCUGCCUCUGCUCCCAGGGCCAACCCUGCAGUCGCACACCUCUGAACACCCGCCCAUGAAGCUGAUGCGGUGACCUAGGGGGACCUCCCUCGAGGGGCCACUGUCAGGUGCAGGUCAACCGCUCUGUGGUCUCGGGCAAGACGAUGAGUGAAUACGGAGCUGAGCUGCACCCAGCAGGCACUAGAUCAAGGCAGAAAAACGUGGACCUGCAGAGCAGAGUGACACAUUGCCCCAGGUCUCUGCUGCGUGGCCUGGCCCUCCCGAAGUGGGGGAUUUAAAGUGACAGCACCAGUUCUGAGCUCACCCAUCUGCAAAACGAAUCGGACUAGGAACCAUGAGGUAGCGAGUUUGAUCCCUGGCCUCGCUCAGUGGGUGAAGGAUCCAACAUUGCCGUGAGCUGUGGUGUAGGUCGCAGACUCAGCUUGGAUCCCGCGUUUUUGAGGCUGUGGUUGUGGCAUAGGCCGGCGGCUACAACUCUGAUUGGGCCCCUAGCCUGGGAACCUCCAUAUGCUGAGGUGCAGCCCUGAAAAGACCAAAAAAAAAAAAAGAAAGAAAGAAAGAAAGAGCAGCUCCCCCACCUCCCCGCCCCUUAAAGCUGCAGCUGGGAGCGCAGCAAGGCGUCCUCUUUGGGUCUCGGCAGCACCCCUCGGGCACUUUGAGCAUCACCGCCCAUCUCCAAGCCGCGGCGGCCUCAUCUAGAAAAGCGAGGUCUGUGCAAACCUGGAAACCAGAGGGCGCGGAGCGGUCCGGGGAGCCCGACACAGGGAACAUGUGGCUUCGGGGAGCGGGAGCCCAGCGCCUGCAGAGAGGCCACCUGCUUCGGGGGCAGGAGAGCAGGGCCAGGUGGCCCCCAGGUUGAGGCUGUACCUGGGGGAGCACCCAGGCGCAGAGGGGCCCUCAGCCAGACCCUCUGUGUCUUUCCUCCGAAGAGAAGUUCUAGUUGACCCAGGGGCUCUGCAGGGCCCCUCCUGGAAGCCCUCCUCUCUGCCACAUGGACUGUGUGGUCUCAUCAUCUUUCUGUCACCUGACAGGCUUCUUCUGCCCCGAGUCCCCUGCCAGUGGGAUUUUCCGUCUCAAUUUCACCCCCUCCUCUCCUAACGGGCCUCUUCUUCUGAAAUAAAUCGAUUGCUUUCAUGCCAACUCUCUUCUCUCUGCUAAGAAAUCAUCGAGUUUUUUAAACUUUUAUUUGUUCUGUUUCCCCCCCAUCUCUUCCCAGGCCUCCUUUUCUCUGGGGAUCUUGAAAUUUUAUUUAGCAAGUCCCGGAACAAGUCCCAACCAGGCCUCCUUGUGCGCGAGAAUGUCCCAUCCGUGCCACAUUUAAGACAACCUGGAAGGGACCCUCAGUGACGGAGCUGCCCGUUCUGCCCGCUUCCUCCCUGGGAAACCCAGAGCCCAGGGGAGAAGGAAAAGGGCCGGGGCCGAAAACAAGGCCAGGGUCUGAGCCUUGAGUGGAAAUCGGGGUCCGGCCGGGCCUCCCUUUCCCGCGUGGUGAAGAAUCACGUGCCGGCAGGAGGAGGUGCAUGGGCACCCGGGACGCCACCCUGGGGAAGAACCGGCGAGGCCUCUUGUUGCUCCAGGGGAAGCGGCCCAGAGCUGCCAAGUGACACGGCGCUGGCCACCAAGAAAGUGUGGAAGCUUGCCAAACCCAGCCGGGGACACUCUCCGUCCCUGGUGAAGACGGCCAAGCUGCUGGCACUGCCCUGUGAAGGGGGACACCAGCUGAGGUGGCAGGAGAAGGGCCGGGACCAUCAUGGAGCAGCCUGGUCACGGCCGACAGCCAGCUGCCCCCAGAUGCUCGCUCCCUGAGGAGAAAGCGCACUCAGGUCGAAGCCUCUCCUUCCCGGAGUCUCAGUCCUUGUAGCCUCAUUUGUCCCUAAAUGACUCGGCCCUCAGCCUGGAGACACCCCACACCCCGGGAGGGAGGGGAAUGCCCCGGGGACAGCGGCGAGCCGCCCCUGGGCGCCGAUGCCUGCAAGCAAGGGCCUCCUCCCCAGGGAGCCCGGGCCUUCUACACGCGCCAACCGGUCCUGCGGCCGGCCCACCCCAGCAUCUGCCGUCUGCCAUCGCCCUCCUCUUCCAGAGACAUGAGGCCUGGGGCCGCCUUGCUGAAAACGGGCCACGGAAGGGACGCCCCCUAAGUCCCGGGGCCAGGACACGCACGGGGAGAUGGAUCCUCCUGGCUUCUCCCGGCUCAGCAGCAGGGCUCGGGGCACCCAGAGGCCGUGUGUGCGGCCCCAGGAGCAGACCCGCCUCCCCCUCCCAUGCAGGAGACUAUGGGCAGCAGCUCAGCAGCCAGGAGCCAUCCUGCUACCCGCCUCCUCCCAGGUGGGCCCUGUCACAAGACCCCGAAGCUGCGCUGGGUCCCGCCUUUGUCCGCCUCUGUCCUCCCCAGCCUCCCUGAGGGCAGGUGAGAAGAGUCCCUACCCCACCUGGUCGGCCAGGUGCUGGGCCCCGAGGAUCCCACCACCUCGGGAGCCACACGCCAAAGAGAGAAAGCGGCGAAGGCGAACCCAGGUGACUGCGUCUUUGGAAAGAGGAGAGAGAGAGCAAGCAGCGACAGCGCUUUCAAAGCUGGCCAACACCGCCAGCCUCGCGAAGGCCGCCGAGCAGCGUGGUUCGCUGUCAUCCUCAGCUGAGUCACAUCCUUUCUCUCCACGUGUUUUUGGGCUGGAUAGUUUUGAUGGCCUCCUCAUAAAUUAUGUAAUAUCGUCUCCCAUAAAGAAAAUGAGAGGAUCAGGUGGUCUCCCCCAGCUCGGAUGACCAACUUUUUCUUAGUGUUGAAAGUUUAUAGAAGUCAAUUUGAGCUUUGCAACUCAUGACUGGGGACAUCAAGAGAAAUUUCAGCAUUGUUGUCACAUUCAGAAAAACGUCUCUCAUGUCUCUUUUAUACCCAAGGGUUAGGAUGCCGGCGUGUUCAUGUUCUCUUGGGUGGUGGAUGCUAUGCAAUACACUUUGGAGUUCCCUGGUGGCUCAGUGGAUUAAGGAUCCAGCAUGGUCAUUGCGGUGCUUGGAUCACUGCUCUGACAAGGGUUCAAUCUCUGUCCCAGGAACUUCUGCAGGCCCUGGGCAUGGCAAAAAAAAAAAUAACAAUUUGGACUUGCCGCUGUGGUGCAACGGGAUUGGCAGCAUCUUUGCAGCCCCAGGGCGCAGGUUCGAUUCCCAGCCGGCAAAGUGGGUUAAAAGGGUCUGGUGUUGCCACAGCUGUAGCGUAGGAUGCAACUAUGGCUCCGAUCUGAUCCCUGGCCUGGGAACUCCAUAUGGCCCAGGGAGGCCAAAAAAGAAAAAAGUACUCUCAGUUCAUGACACUAAACUCUUUUCACUCUGUUGAACGGGUGGCUGGGUUUCAGGAGUCAGAGUAAUGCAUUUCUCACGAGGAUCUGUUGCCGUUAGCAGGAACGUGCGGGAGCCAAGGACAUGCGGGAGCCGCAGGGACCUGCGACGUCAGCUUCUUUGGCGUCACGUCUGAACCUGUGUGUCCCUGCAAGAUGCCCGAACCUUGGAGCAGGGAGGAUCCCAGGCAGGCAGGUGUGUGUCAGGCCGCUCAUUCCCACUGGUGGAGAUUUAUUAGGUGUCGGUGGCAAGAAUCCUGGCAAAUUUCUCCAGGAAUCUGUACCGAGGCACCUGGAUGGGUCCCCUAUAAACACAGGCCUUUGCGACCUCAGCCACCUCUUCUUCAGCAACAAAUCAGCACCCAUUACGGAAUGGGACACUAGUUAGAUGAAAGAAUCUGUUUUCGCAAAGGAAAACAGCACUGUCCCGAGAGCCUUGUGGCAGCCGUGAGCAUGGCCACAUGCACCUGUCAGGAGGAUGUGGUUCCAGGAUGCCAGGUGCUGGUGAGGACGCAGCGGGACCAGAACUCACAUGUGGCCAGCAGGGAUGCAAACGGCCAGUGUGGACAGUCACUCGGAGCGUUGACCAAAUAUCUGCAAUGCAACCCAGCAGUCUCUCUCCAGGGUCUUCGCCUUCGGGAAGUCAAAACUAUGUCCACAAAAAUCUGUACCUGGAUGUUUACAGCACUUCUGUUCAUAACCACAAAAAUAGUAAAGUCCCAAAGGUCCU